CCGCAGGAGAAGAAGAAGAAGAAAGACAGCAGCGACGAGUCGCAGACGUCGGAGGAGAGCGACAUCGACAGCGAGACGUCGUCCGCGCUCUUCAUGGCGAAGAAGAAGACGCCCCCCAAGAGGGAGCGCCGGGGCUCGGCCAGCAGCUCGCGG